UCCGGUUCUUCACCAGCAGUCUCCUUAGAGUCCCCACCAUUACAUGUUGGCAACUAAGGAUAAGGGUUGCGCUCGUUACGGGACUUAACCCAACAUCUCACAACACGAGCUGACGACAGCCAUGCAGCACCUGUCUCACAGUUCCUUUCGGCACUCUCAUAUCUCUAUAAGAUCCUGUGGAUGUCAAGGGUAGGUAAGGUUCUUCGCGUUGCAUCGAAUUAAACCACAUGCUCCACCGCUUGUGCGGGCCCCCGUCAAUUUCUUUGAGUUUUAAUCUUGCGACCGUACUCCCCAGGCGGAAAACUUAUCGCGUUUGCUUCGAUACUAAUAGGUCUUAGCCUAACAACAUCUAGUUUUCAUCGUUUACAGCGUGGACUAC
rnacentral:misc_RNA from 1 species